rnacentral:rRNA from 1 species
CCUACGUGAGGCAGCAGUGGGGGAUAUUGCACAAUGGGGGAAACCCUGAUGCAGCGACGCCGCGUGUGGGAAGACGGUCCUCUGGAUUGUAAACCACUGUCCCCAGGGACGAAGAUGACGGUACCUGGGGAGGAAGCUCCGGCUAACUACGUGCCAGCAGCCGCGGUAAUACGUAGGGAGCGAGCGUUGUCCGGAAUUACUGGGUGUAAAGGGAGCGUAGGCGGGACUGCAAGUUGGGUGUCAAAUCUACCGGCUCAACCGGUAGCCGCACUCAAAACUGCAGUUCUUGAGUGAAGUAGAGGCAGGCGGAAUUCCUAGGGUAGCGGUGAAAUGCGUAGAUAUUAGGAGGAACACCAGUGGCGAAGGCGGCCUGCUGGGCUUUUACUGACGCUGAGGCUCGAAAGUGUGGGGAGCAAACAGGAUUAGAUACCCCAGUAGUC